CCCUGCAAGUAUUCUCCACCUCAAAGCAGCCUGCAAGAAAACAGAAUGAAGGGCCAGGCCAGUGAUACAAUUACUUUACAUUCAGAAACCAGGAAAAAGACCCAGUGGCUGAGAAACACAGUUCCUCAAAAUUACUGGAUACCCCUACUUGUAGAGAAACGCCAUUCUCUGCCUUGGUGAGAUCUGCCAACAAAGAACAGGUUCUGACCACGAAGACUUAAUGUGAAACGUCUGGCAACUGCUGACACUGAUGAAAAGUCCUCUUAAGAUAAUGGAUAAACAGAACUGGCAAUACCUAACCGGAAACUAUCUAUUGAGACUGCUAACUGGAUAAGGACUUCAUUGCUACGCUCCACCCCCAACCCAGUAUCUCCUCUUCAGGGAUGAAAUACCUAAAACAAAAACAAUUGAACUCAAGAAAAACCCACGUGAGCACUUCUACCCCCUCAAGCAACAGCAAGACUGCUCCAACAGCCCGUGGCACACCUUCCAAUGAGAGAAAAAGAAACCCCAGAAGUUAAUUUCUCAUGAAACAAAAACUAUUGCUUUGGGAAGUUUAGCAUUUAGUUGCCUUAACAGGCCAGCAGUCAGCUGGUCUGCCUAUGAGAUCACUGCUUGCCAAAGUCCAGAUUUUAUCUAGAUUCAGAAAAAGGGAGAGAACUCAUAAGCCAGGGAAAGCGACCUCGUAGAGCUCAGAGGGAUGUUUAACCCAGGGUGUCAUGGAGCUUGUUUGACUUUGGGUUAAUGUGAACAGAGGACAUACGUUUGUACUUCUCUCUAUUAUAUCCAGAGGAGAGAAAGGGAAAGAAAAUCCAUUUGCUCAACAUGGAAAGGUCAAAUGUGUAUUGCCCAAUUCCUAAAACUGCGUAUGAAAAUCAUCAGAAAAUUACAUCAGAAAAAGAAACUCUCUAAACAGCAUCCUUUAUUAUCUAAGAAGGACAGUCAAACUACGUCACAUAGGAAUUCAUGUAGGAUGUAAAUACAUGUUUGCUUUAGCAGGGUGUUUUCUUUAACAAGGCUUGGCAUCUAACUGCAUUCCAUUUGAAUUAAACUGUUUUUAAU
rnacentral:lncRNA from 7 species